AGAGUUUGAUCCUGGCUCAGGAUGAACGCUGGCGGCGUGGAUAAGGCAUGCAAGUCAAACGGAAUAUAUUAAUUUAAUAUGUUUAGUGGCAGACGGGGUAGUAACACGUAGGAACUCACCCAAGAGACGGGCAUAACUAGCCGAAAGGUUAGAUAAUUCCCGAUAGUUCCCGAAAGGGUAAAUCACUUAGAUUGGCUCUGGGAGAGGCCUGCGGGCUAUCAGCUAGUUGGUAGGGUAAAGGCCUACCAAGGCUACGACGGCUAGGGGGAGUGAGAGCUUGGCCCCCACCAAUGGAACUGCGACACGGUCCAUACACCUACGGGUGGCAGCAGCCGAGAAUAUUCGACAAUGGGCGAAAGCCUGAUCGAGCGACGCCGCGUGCAGGACGAAGUCCUUCGGGACGUAAACUGCUUUUUUAGGGGAGGAACGAAAGUGACUGUACCUUAAGAAUAAGGGCUUGCUAACCUCGUGCCAGCAGCCGCGGUAAUACGAGGAGCCCGAGCGUUAUCCGGAUUUACUGGGCGUAAAGGGUGUGUAGGCGGUAUGGUUAGUCCUGCUUUAAAUCUCCAUGCUCAACAUGGAGGCUGGGUGGGAAACGGCCAAACUUGGAUGAUGCCAGAGGCAAGCGGAACUCAAGGUGUAGGGGUGAAAUCCGUUGAUAUCUUGGGGAACACCAAAGGCGAAGGCAGCUUGCUGGGGCAUUCAUGACGCUGAAACACGAAAGCGUGGGGAUCAAAAAGGAUUAACAAAGGCCACAAUUCAAGGAGCCGACUUAGAAGUCGGCCGUGGCGCUAGUCCCCAUAUGUAGAAAUAUAUAUGGUUAAAAAAUUCAACUAUAUGCUGGAAAAUCCGAGUAUCUUUAAGUACUCCGACGCAAGGUCGGAGUGAAAAUCUUAAAGUGCGGACAAUCAGCAGGCAACUUUAUAAAAAUAGAGGAGCCUCAGAGACUAUACGUUGAAAUCCAAUAUUUAAAAAUUGGAUAUAAUAUAGUCCGAACUCCAUGGCGACAUGGGGAGGCCGGCAGAAAUGCCCGGCCCAACUCAAGAACCCGCCAAAAGCGCAAACGCACAAUUAGGCGGGCAAGCAAAUCGGUGCUAAUUUUUGGAAAAAAGAAAGCGCAGCCUCUGUGAGACUGCGCCUUAAAGAUUGUCAGAAUUGUUAUCAGUUUCGUGUUACUAGUCGCGUGAUUAUGAAAGUUGCGGGUAUGGCCACGGCAAAAUAUACUAAAAAAUCAUAACCAAAGCCAAAAUAUUUGUUAGUCACAACAAACGCCGUCGAUGCGAUGAUAAAACUAAUAAGAAUUCCGAAAAACAGAAUCUUUUGUUUUUUCUGCAUAGAACUAGCCUCCUUUUAAAGAAUAGCAUGUAGAUAGUUAUUUGUCAAGCACCAAUCUUGACUCCGCAAAAAAGAGCGGGGCAGGCUCCAAAAAUUAGCACCGAUUAGUAAAA
rnacentral:rRNA from 1 species